GAUCAAGUGAAAGAAGGGCAUUUGGUGGAUGCCUUGGCAUGCACAGGCGAUGAAGGACGUGAUACGCUGCGAAAAGCCGUGGGGAGCUGCGAAUGAGCUUUGAUCCAUGGAUCUCCGAAUGGGGCAACCCACCUUAGAUGCUUGGAAAAUCAUUUUGGUUGGCAGCUGGUCCCGAAGCCGUAAGGCUUCGCAAGGCCAGAGGCCGUCGCCGGUUAUCCGGCGUCAAGAAACCAAAGUGGUUUCCAAGCAUUGUUGAAAGGUAUCUUAUUCUGAAUACAUAGGGAUAAGAAGCGAACGCAGGGAACUGAAACAUCUAAGUACCUGCAGGAAAGGACAUCAACCGAGACUCCGCAAGUAGUGGCGAGCGAACGCGGACCAGGCCAGUGGCAAUGAGGAAUAAAGUGGAACGAUCUGGAAAGUUCGGCCGUAGCGGGUGACAGCCCCGUACACGUAGAACACUCAUUGUCCUUGAGUAAGGCGGGACACGUGAAAUCCUGUCUGAACAUGGGGAGACCACUCUCCAAGCCUAAGUACUCGUGCAUGACCGAUAGCGAACAAGUACCGUGAGGGAAAGGUGAAAAGCACCCCGACAAGGGGAGUGAAAUAGAACCUGAAACCGGAUGCCUACAAACAGUCGGAGCCCGCAAGGGUGACGGCGUACCUUUUGUAUAAUGGGUCAACGACUUAGUGUGGCAUGCAAGCUUAAGCCGGUAGGUGGAGGCGUAGCGAAAGCGAGUCUGAACAGGGCGCUUUAGUAUGUCGCAUUAGACCCGAAACCGAGUGAUCUAGCCAUGAGCAGGUUGAAGGUUGGGUAACACCAACUGGAGGACCGAACCCGCAUCUGUUGCAAUAGAUUGGGAUGACUUGUGGCUAGGGGUGAAAGGCCAAUCAAACUCGGAAAUAGCUGGUUCUCCGCGAAAACUAUUUAGGUAGUGCGUCGACCGAAUACCCUCGGGGGUAGAGCACUGGAUGGGCUAUGGGGACUCACCGUCUUACUGAUCCUAACCAAACUCCGAAUACCGAGGAGUACUAGUCGGCAGACACACGGCGGGUGCUAACGUCCGUCGUGAAAAGGGCAACAACCCUGACCUCCAGCUAAGGUCCCCAAGUCAUGGCUAAGUGGGAAAGGAUGUGAGGAUCCCAAAACAACCAGGAUGUUGGCUUAGAAGCAGCCAUCAUUUAAAGAAAGCGUAACAGCUCACUGGUCUAAAUAAGGGUCUUUGCGCCGAAAAUGUAACGGGGCUGAAGCCAUGCACCGAAGCUGAGGCUUACGAUCUUCCUCGGAAGACGUAGGGGUAGCGGAGCGUUCCGUAAGCCAGUGAAGGGAUACCCGUGAGGGGUCCUGGAGGUAUCGGAAGUGCGAAUGUUGACAUGAGUAACGAUAAAGAGGGUGAGAGACCCUCUCGCCGAAAGACCAAGGGUUCCUGCUUAAAGUUAAUCUGAGCAGGGUUAGCCGGCCCCUAAGACGAGGCGGACACGCGUAGUCGAUGGGAACCACGUUAAUAUUCGUGGGCCUGGUGGUAGUGACGGAUUGCUCAACUUGUCCGGACUUAUUGGAUUGUCCGGGCGGGGACGCGGUUCCAGGAAAUAGCUCCACCGUAUAGACCGUACCCGAAACCGACACAGGUGGUCAGGUAGAGUAUACCAAGGCGCUUGAGAGAACUAUGUUGAAGGAACUCGGCAAAUUGCACGCGUAACUUCGGAAGAAGCGUGACCCUUUUCUACGCAAGUAGGAUGGGGUGGCACAGACCAGGGGGUAGCGACUGUUUAUCAAAAACACAGGGCUCUGCGAAGUCGCAAGACGACGUAUAGGGUCUGACGCCUGCCCGGUGCUGGAAGGUUAAGAGGAGGGGUGCAAGCUCUGAAUCGAAGCCCCAGUAAACGGCGGCCGUAACUAUAACGGUCCUAAGGUAGCGAAAUUCCUUGUCGGGUAAGUUCCGACCUGCACGAAUGGCGUAACGACUUCCCCGCUGUCUCCAACAUAGACUCAGUGAAAUUGAAUUCCCCGUGAAGAUGCGGGGUUCCUGCGGUCAGACGGAAAGACCCCGUGCACCUUUACUAUAGCUUUACACUGGCAUUCGUGUCGGCAUGUGUAGGAUAGGUGGUAGGCUUUGAAGCGGGGACGCCAGUUCUCGUGGAGCCAUCCUU
rnacentral:rRNA from 1 species